rnacentral:tRNA from 1 species
GGCUGGGGAUAGCUCAGUUGGUAGAGUGCUUACCUUGAAUGCACAAAGCCCUGGGUUUGAUCCCCAGGGCCA